rnacentral:rRNA from 1 species
GACGAACGCUGGCGGCGUGCUUAACACAUGCAAGUCGAACGGAAAGGCCCUGCUUUUGUGGGGUGCUCGAGUGGCGAACGGGUGAGUAACACGUGAGUAACCUGCCCUUGACUUUGGGAUAACUUCAGGGAACUGGGGCUAAUACCGGAUAGGAGCUCCUGCUGCAUGGUGGGGGUUGGAAAGUUUCGGCGGUUGGGGAUGGACUCGCGGCUUAUCAGCUUGUUGGUGGGGUAGUGGCUUACCAAGGCUUUGACGGGUAGCCGGCCUGAGAGGGUGACCGGCCACAUUGGGACUGAGAUACGGCCCAGACUCCUACGGGAGGCAGCAGUGGCGAAUAUUGCACAAUGGGCGGAAGCCUGAUGCAGCAACGCCGCGUGCGGGAUGACGGCCUUCGGGUUGUAAACCGCUUUCGCCUGUGACGAAGCGUGAGUGACGGUAAUGGGUAAAGAAGCACCGGCUAACUACGUG